rnacentral:lncRNA from 1 species
UGGGGUUUAAUGUCUAAAGCCUUAGGAAUAAUUAGGACACAUUUUGGCCCUUGAAAUUGGUGUUCAUGGUCCAAGAAGUUCUUGGGCCGUAAACACCUAUAACUUGGUGUUUUUGGUUGCUUUCUAGUCUCAAAUGUACCUACAUAUUAUCCUAAACUAGUUGCCUAACAAGGAAAUGGGACUACAUGGCCUUUAGGCUCCAUUUUGGAGUUUACUCCCCAAGAACGUUCUUGGGCAGUAAACUCCCGGAUCUCACAUAUUUGACAUGUAAUCUAUGNAUGGGACUAGAUGGCCUUUAAGCUCCAUUUUGGAGUUUACUCCCCAAGAAUGUUCUUGGGCGGUAAACUCCCGGAUCUCACAUAUUUGACAUGUAAUCUAUGUUAUGA